rnacentral:rRNA from 1 species
UACGUAGGUGGCGAGCGUUGUCCGGAUUUACUGGGCGUAAAGGGAGCGUAGGCGGACUUUUAAGUGAGAUGUGAAAUACCCGGGCUCAACUUGGGUGCUGCAUUUCAAACUGGAAGUCUAGAGUGCAGGAGAGGAGAAUGGAAUUCCUAGUGUAGCGGUGAAAUGCGUAGAGAUUAGGAAGAACACCAGUGGCGAAGGCGGCUCUCUGGACUGUAACUGACACUGAGGCACGAAAGCGUGGGGAGCAAACAGGAUUAGAUACCCG